GGUCUGCAAACCAUUUCUGUGCCUGAGCAUAAACUGUUUCUGUCCUGUGAUUUGGUCCAGAGAGAAGUGGAGGUUGGUGUUCGUCCAGAGUUGCCCGUGACUGGAGUGGACAUCAUUUUGGGAAAUGACCUGGCAGGUGGUCGUGUUUGGCCAGAUCAUGCAAAGCCAUUCAGGGGUAACAAAAUAAACAUUGCAGGAAAGAGUUUUCAAGUUAGAGGCGAGGACUGGUUUUGUCCGGAUAAGUGUGGAAUGAUGAACUUUUCUAGAAGAAUCACUUGUUACAGAUGUGGCAGGAAGAAAACCAAGCUGGAGG